rnacentral:rRNA from 1 species
CGGGUGAGUAACACGUGGGUAACCUAUCCUCGGGUCCGGGACAACACUUCGAAAGGGGUGCUAAUACCGGAUAAGACCACGCCCUCUACGGGGGGUGAGGUAAAAGGUGGCCUCUCCAUGGAAGCUAUCACCUGAGGCUGGGCCCGCGCCCCAUCAGCUUGUUGGUGAGGUAACGGCUCACCAAGGCCGAGACGGGUAGCUGGUCUGAGAGGAUGUCCUGCCACACUGGAACUGAGACACGGUCCAG